UUAGACGCGGGCGAACUGCCCCACUUCCCCGCCCUGCGAAACAAAAAUUUCGCUAAGUACCGUCCCUAGCCUCCUAUUCUCUAACCCUAACUCUCCGCCGCCACCCACCCUUUCUCUUCCGAUCCAAUGUCCCAUACCGCCGCCCCUCCCGUCCCCCACUCACCGCUCUCCAAGUCUUCGCUUAGUCGUCGUCCUCCGACCUCGCAGCAGAAGCAACCCGCCAUGGCCGCCGCCUCCGCGUCUGAUAUGGAGAGCAAGGAGGCACUGGGCUUCGUCAACAACCCGCGGAUGGUCGGCCUCGCCGUAGAUCAGCGCGCGUGAGAGCAUGCGGUGGUCCGGUCCACGAGGCCGAUGGAUCAGGCCGCAGAGUUCUACAACCAGACCAUCGAUGAGGCAGCGUUGGGGGCAGUGCAGUACCAACUUCUGGACAUUUUCCAUCCCAGUGUGGUGCCGAUGCACAAGCUUAAUUAAGCAGAUUUCUGAUGCGUUCCUAUUCGUUAAAGGAUGCCGUAUUGUACAACUUAGAUGGCCGCGAUGCUGAUUUUGGGGGUGUUGUUCCGUAGGUGAAUUUCGGCUAAGACGGAGCACGCCAUGAUCCACAACUACAAGGUUCUCCAGGAUGUUUUCAACAAGCUGCGAAUCAACAAGGAAUGGCCUCAAGGAGAAGCAAGCCUCUGUAGAUCUGGCUAAGAACGAGAUCUAGAAAGGUCUUGAUUUCCCAUUAGGCCAUAUGAUUUUUUUACACAAUAGAUCAGCAACAAGAUGGGCUUGAGCCUGCAAUGGAGGCAACUAUCUAGUUCCUGAACAAGGCGGUGAAGUCAGUGCUUGUCGGCAGCCGAAUGCCUUUGUUGACCCUGUAGAUGCAGCACUACAGGCCUUUGUUGACCUUGUAGAUGAAGGCCUUUCUUAUGUCCGGAUUGGCGCUUUUUGGCAUGUUUCAGUGUUGGUGCAAGUAAAGAGAAUCUUAUGUGCCAACAAUUCUGUCAGUUCUUUGCAAACGAUGCCGAGAAGGGCUUUGUGAAGAAGAGUAAGGCUGAGAAACAUCCCAACAAGCCCAAGUGCCCCUCGAGUGCCUUCUUAGUCUCUGUGCAUUUCCCUCAUCUACGUGAUAUUUCUAUAUCCGUUUUGAUUCUGUGGUUUGUGUCGUGUUCUAACUAUUGUUUUGGUGUGUUUCUAGUUCUUCCGGGAGGGGUUCAGGAAGGUGUUAAAAAGAUUCGGCUCGCUCUUCUGAAAAACAAAAUCCUAACACUGAAUAAGUUUAUGGCAUUUAAGUUCAACCAACCUUGUAGUAAAACUAUUCACCUUCAUUUUGUGGAGAUAGAAUACCUACUUGUUGAAAUUUAUAGUCAUUUAUAAUUUGCAACAUAGUUUUCACUGUAAAGAAAACAUUUAAAUUCAAUAUGUAAGGGGUCUGACUAUUUACUUCUUGACUUAAAGUGAGAGAAUUAGUAUAGAGGGCUCUUCAUGACUGUUGAUAUGCAUUUCUUAUCUUUUAUUUCUAUUUUGCCAGUCAAGCUCUAUCUGGGAAUUUGGCCAGCAUGCUACUUGCAAUUUUGCAAAAUAUGAGGUUCCUUUUGGGCACCAUGCCUACCUUUAUUGAUUCCACCAUCAAUGAGAUGAUAGUCUUGUACUUUUGCUGUAACACCUAUAUAGCUAAUGAUGUUGAAUAAUGUGAUAAUCUCAUCACUCAUGUACUGAAUUUUCAUUUCUCAGACUCGAUACUUACUAUCGCUGGUGCAGUAGUGCUAGUUACAUUGGUAUUGUGUCAGUUCUCCUUGCUUUGUGUGAGUUCUUUGGAUGACCCCCUUUGCACAAGAGAGGUAGUUCGUUGGGACCAAUUGAGGAGCAGCACCCUGGCUUGUGAUCGCUAUCGAAGGAGCUCAAGUCUGUAGAAGUUUGAAGUCACACUCUAGUUAUACUAUGAUUAUCAUUGUAUCUGUUAUGUAACUGACUGAAUCUGGCUGUUAUUUGAAAUACUAAGUGUGUAUUAUGUCUAU